rnacentral:lncRNA from 1 species
GGCCAAGGAGAGCCCAUUUUGGGGUCAAACAAGUCUCCAUCUUUGGGGGCCUCAAAAUGGUCCAUUUGGGGGUCGAAAUUGGAGGUUUUUUGGGGUCCAAACAGCUUAUUUUGGAGCCAAAAUGAACAAUCUUUGGGUCAUAAUUGGGGGUUUUUGGGGCCAAAAGGGCAAUUUGGGUUCGAAAGGGGGUUAUUUUAGGGUCCAAAAAACCCCAUUUUGGGGUAAGAAAGGGGGAUUUUAGGGUCAGAAAGGGCCAUUUUGGGGCCAAAAAUGCCCAUUUUAGGGCCAAGAAGAGCCAUUUUUGGGUCAAAAAGUCCCAUUUUGGGGUCAAAAUGGGGGUUUUUGGGGCUAAAAAGGGCCAAUUUUAGGUCAGAAAGGGGGAUUUUAGGGUCCAAAAAACCUCAUUUUGGGGUCAAGAAGAGCCAUUUUGGGGUCAAAAAGUCCCAUUUUGGGGCCAAAAAUGACCAUUUUGGGGUCGAAAUUGGGGGUUUUUGGGGCUAAAAUGGGCCAUUUUUAGGUCAGAAAGGGGGAUUUUAGGGUCCAAAAAACCCCAUUUUGGGGUCAGAAAGGGGGAUUUUAAGGUCAGAAAGGGCCAUUUUGGGGUCAAAAAUGACCAUUUUGGGGUCGAAAUUGGAGGUUUUUUGUGGCCAAAAAGGCCCAUUUUGGGGCUAAAAACGCCCAUUUUGGGGUCAGGAAGUGCCAUUUUGGGGCCAAAAAGGCCCAUUUUGGGGUCAGAAAUGACCAUUUUGGGGCCAACUUGGGGGAUAUUGGGGCCAAAUAGGCCCAUUUCGGGGCCAAAAAUGACCAUUUGGGGGUCAAAAUUGGGAGUUUUUGGGGUCAAAAAAGCCCAUUUUGGGCCGAAAAUGGCCAUUUUGGGGUCAAAUUGAGGGUUUUUGGGUCCAAAAUGCCUGAUUUUGGGGUCAAAAAGGCCAUUUUUGGGGUAAAAAACGCCAUUUUUGGGUCCUACCAAUGCCAUGUGUGACCCG